UCAAGUUAGGGCAAAAUACGCCGAAUGAAAUAGCCGACGUUUAAACGCGUCGGUUAUUUUUUUUU
rfam:Yersinia pestis CO92 complete genome